CCUACGGGUGGCUGCAGUGGGGAAUAUUGCGCAAUGGGCGAAAGCCUGACGCAGCGACGCCGCGUGAGGGAUGAAGGUCUUCGGAUCGUAAACCUCUGUCAGCAGGGAAGAACGGUCACUGUGCUAAUCAGCAGUGAAUUGACGGUACCUGCAAAGGAAGCACCGGCUAACUCCGUGCCAGCAGCCGCGGUAAUACGGUGGGUGCGUGCGUUAAUCGGAAUUACUGGGCGUAAAGCGCUCGUAGGCGGUAUGUCAAGUCAAGGGGGAAAUCCCCGCGCUCAACGUGGGAACUGCCUUUGAAACUGGCAAACUGGAGUGUGUGAGAGGAUAGUGGAAUUCCAGGUGUAGGAGUGAAAGCCGUAGAUAUCUGGAGGAACAUCAGUGGCGAAGGCGACUAUCUGGCACAUAACUGACGCUGAGGAGCGAAAGCGUGGGUAGCAAACAGGAUUGGAUACCCCAGUAGUC
rnacentral:rRNA from 1 species